rnacentral:lncRNA from 1 species
AGAUCUCUUUAAGCUCUGACAGUCUGAGAUUGAAAUGCCCGUAGAAUGGAAAUCUCAGGGCCAAGGGUUCCCGUCUGUCCUUUUCUGUCCUGUAUGUCUGCUGUGAAGACCCGUACCUGGCCUGUAUGUGUUCAGUAAAUGUUUGUUGAAUGAACACAUCUUUCUAAAUCACAAGCUGGCAGAAGGGUGGGCCUUUCUCAGACUCCAUCUCUAGAGGUUUAUGUUACUGUCCUUUUGAGAGAAUCCAGAUUCAGACUUUGAGUUCUGUGGCUGUGGGCAAAAACCAACAAAGACCCAAAUCCUCUGUCUUUGGGAGCUUGAGGAGAGUUGACCAGUUCGUGUUGCCAUUGGGCCUAAGAACUUUGCCUUUAAAAUCCAUUCCUGGUCCCUGCCUACAACUUCCUGGUCUGGGGAAUAGAGUUGGGGGGACCCCCCUCAGUCAUGUGAAUUUGACUGUCCCCACAGAAACAACAGAAGAAACAAGUGGAACAUCAGCUGGAAGAAGAAAAGAAAGCAAACAAGGAAAUACACAGAGCACAAACGGAGCAGUUAGAGACAAUCAACAUCCUCACAUUGGAAAAGGCAGACUUGAAGACCACCCUUUACCAUACUAA